rnacentral:lncRNA from 1 species
UUGGUUUAGGUUGAUACAAAGUAUAAUUUGAAACAUACUCGCUUCUCGAAGGAACUAUCCUGCGAGUCAGCUAUCUUGUCUGCGAUACCAUAGUCAAUGGCUGCUUGUGCUUGGAGAUAUUUAGGUCGCUUGAUGUCCUCGUUGAUCUGCUCUUUGGUUUUACCUGUUCCCUUAGCUAACAGCUCAAUGUAAUACUCAGUAUUUGCAUCGAGCUCCUUGGCCUGUCAGAGGAGGAAUAUUCAUUAACAGUACAAGUGAAGAAAAUUUCAAGGGAUUACAUAAGAGAGUACAAGAGUGAGAGGGCCACCUUAAUCCACAUGUCAAUGGCAGCUCCACUUGAUCUGUUUACUUUUGGCAGAUACAAUUUUGCUGCACCAUAAAACAUCAGAACUUAGAAGCUUCCACAAGAGGUACUAAUAAGCAUGUCAUGAUCUAAUGCAAGUUUAAGGCUUCGAAUGGUAACAUGCGGAACAACAACUAAAGUGCGGUUUCUAAAAGUAACAAAAACGUAAAUGUAAAGACUUUUUUAAUACUAACUGCGGUGCGGUUUUGUCCGUUAGCAUUUGAAGUCUAAAAGUAGAUAUAUUUUGAGAGGAGAGAACCAUACUUGAUGAAUGUGGCUGAACUGCACGAUAACCCUUUUUACCGAGAGAAAGAAGCAUUGCUGCUUGACCAAAAGCCAUGCCACAGUUGAUAGUGUAUACAUCUGAUUUGCAAUACUUUUAACCCACACAAAAAAAGAAUAGAAAAGUGAAUUGAUUACUGUAUCAUCACAAUGAAUAUAAAUGCACAGAUUCUUUUAGUAAGAUAGACUUACAGAAAUGGUGUCAGCUAUGGCAUAAGCCUCUGUUUCUGACCCAACAGUCUCCAUCUUCUCAUUCUACAUGGCAUUUAGCAAAAUAAAAUAAGCAGAUUGUCCAGAUAAUUCCAUCAAAAGACUUAAUUGAACUGACCUGAGUCCCGGGUGAGUUUAUGUAUAGGUAGAUGGGCUUUGCUGGGUUGUCAUAGUCUAACCACAUAAACUGAGCAACGAGUAACUCAGUAACUGCAGGUACGAUCUGCGAGUGAAUCGAAGCAAGAUCAAUGCCUGAGCAGAGAGGAAACAUAGUAACAGUAAGUUAAUAUCGACACAUGGAGAAGUCUUACUGGCAUGCCAAGGUAGCAUAUGCGAGCAUCCAAAAGCAAAGAAGGCAAAUCCGGAGGAGCAGUUCUUGGUCUUGCAGAUCCUCCGCCGCCGCCUCCACCUCUGUACAUUUGGACACUCAUGCUGUAUCUCCUAGGAUCUGCUGCAUUCAUACCAGACAUACUCCACGUUCCUCCGUUGUCCAAAUAAUUUCUUCUGGACGAGAUGCUUUCCUAUUAACAACAAAGAAGCAUGCCAAAAAAAAGACAAAGACUCAUAUAUUAGAGAAGAAACUUUGUAACUGUAAAAUGGAAUAUGAUAAGAUGGAUUAAAAGAGAAUAUUAACCUCUGUAACUUUCUCCGCUUGCCUGCGGACAGGGCUGUCCUCUGUCAUGAACAUAUCCAUUUGAGCUGGAUUAAGACCGUAGAAAUACUGUGGUACAUUCUUGAAGUUCUGCGUCACUUAAAAAAAAAAGGCAAGGAACAUAGAAUGUCAGAUCAAGUUGAAAGCAAAUAUUGACGAAUUGAAAUCUCAACAAAGAGUUGCAGCAAUCAAACUAAUAUUUUAAGAUUCCAUAUUACACAGACAACAUAACAUAUAAAGGGCAAAAGGCUUUCACUACUUGUUGAAACUGGUGGAGCCAAAGACAUAAUCUUUAGCACUAAGGUAGUUCGUGUAAGCUAAAGAAUCAGAGGAAAAUAGAGAACUUUGUGACCCAAUUCAUCACCAAAGAAAGACAACCUAAACGGAUAAGGUUGAGACCUAAUAACAAAUCUAUACGAAGGAAAAAAAAAAGUAAAAGCACAAAGCUGAGGGAGAAGUAGAAAACCUCCAUCUUUGAGAUUGUCUCCACGAAAUUGUUUGGGGAUGUGGUCAAAGCUCAUAUCUUUAGCAGAAGCGAAGCAGUUCGGUCUUCUUGUGCGUCGAGGAACGCUAGAGCAAGGCAUGUUCGAGGAGAAGAGCUUAGAUCCCGACAUGAAGGGUGAUUUGGGAAGCACGAACUUGGAACAGACAGAUUCAUGGUUGAGCUGUGGAGCAAGAGGAGAGACCAUCAUCGAAGUCGCCAUAUUUGAUCCGAUGAAGAAGAAGAUGAUUGGAAGUUUGGAACGAAGGAUGUGUUUAGUUUGGGGAUGUUUGAGGUGAAACUAGGGAUUGCUUGUCGUUUUUGCUGUCGUCAGAUGAAGAUGAUGCAAGUAAGCACAGUCAAAUCUCUACCAAACCAGAAUCGGUUUGGUCUUGGUACCGGUACAGAUCAAUCAGUGUCUUUAACCGGCUCCGUCUCGAUAAAUUUCUGCCCGGUUUCAUAUCUAUUUUUAUUAAUCAGGGGUUUUGCUUAAGAAAUUACUUUUCUUAUAUGAUAUUAAUAACUUUGACCAAAAAAAAAAUGAUAUUAAUAACAAUUAAGAUUUGAUUCCUUAAAUAUCUAGACGAUCUGGUUACCUAAUUAACAACCUAGUUUCUUUUAUUAUACAUAGUAUAUUAAAUAAUAUAUUAUUAGAUAAAUUAUUUAAUUAAACAAAAAUUAUUUUUUUGUUUGCUUUAUUAUUAGUUGGAAUUUAUUUUUCUCAAAUGUCUUUUCUAUAUCUCUAGGUGGAUAUUUGCUUUUUCUAACAAUUUAACUUUAUUAAUAACUAGAUACGGAUCCGCGCUGUGCACGGAUAUUGUUAUAUCUACUUUUUACAGAAAAAAUAGUGGUAAUAUAUAUUUAUAUAAUAUUUUUAUGUUAUUUAUUUGUAAAUAAUACAUUUUUAAAGAUAUAUUGAAUUGUGGUGUUGUUACAAAAUAUUUUGUACAUGGUGUUUUUUUUGUGUGCAUAAAUUUUAAAUGUUGUACAUGGUGUUUUUUUCUUAUAAUGUUAGAAUUUUCGUUUGUAAUUUAAUAUUUUGAUAUAAAAAUGUGAUUGUCAAUUUAUGUUCUUUAAAAUAUUUUUAUAUGUUAUUUAAAAUAUAUUAUUAACAUAUUUGGCGCAAAUAUUUUUUGGAUUUACUUUUAAGAAUAUAAGUUUGGACAAAAAAUUAUGAUAUAGUUUAAUAUGUUUUUAAAAUAUAUGGACAAUUUAAAUUAACUGAGAUUAUAUUAUAUAAUUUUAAUAUAUGUUUUAUGGGUAUUAUUUUUUUCUUAUAUAUAUAUAUCUUUUUAUAAUUUAACAUGUGAAUAUAAUAGGGAGGUCGAAAAAUAAGGGAGAAAAUCUUGUUUGGCAAAAAAAUCAACUUUCAAAUAAGAGAAUGUCGUAAAAAAAUAAAUUGUAGUUAUUGAUUAUUUGGUGUGCAAGUCAAGUUAGUCUAGAUUUCAUCAAAUCUUUCUUAAUAAUAUAUUUCUCAGAAAUUUUCAUGUUUACUGUUUUGUUGAUACUAUUAUUGAUGUUUAUCACCAUUAAAGAGACAUUUUCAAAAAUAUAUUCUUCAUAAAAAAUAAAAAGACUCUUACACCCUUGAAAAUCGAAAUUUUUUUUUGAAAUUAUUUUUAAAAAAUUUAUAUAAUUUUAAGUUUGUAUUUAUAUAUUUAUUGGAAUCAUAAAUUUCACAUUCCAGAAACCAUACCACACCUUUCAAUUUUAAAACAUAAGUCUAGAUUAGUUAAUCCUAUGGUUAUAAAUGUUUUUUUCUCUCUUUAAAAAUGAGAGUAAAAGUGAUUACUGUAAACAUGAAAAAUAGUAUUAUGAAUGUGAUAUUUUUGACAAUUUCUCUAUCUUUCUAAUUUUCUUGUAGAUAAGGAUUGUUUAUGAAAUUAGUAAAUAAAAAAUAAUGUAAUUUCUAACUUCUACUGUAUUUCAAAAAAACAAUUUUGCAUAAGUUAUAUUUUAUAUGAUUGAAGUUUAUAUAUGAUUGAAGUUUAUAUAAUAACAUAUUAUGUUCAUAAUGGUAGGUAUCUCUAAGUUUAACAAAGAAUCAAUCAACUUAGAGCAUAUUAACAUAUGUCACGAAAAUGAGGUGUAAAAAGAGUUAUUAUAUCUAAUCUUUCUAUUAACAUAAGAAACCAAACAUAUACAUGUUCUUUGUGUGAUGAUAUGAUGUCGAUGAGAAAAUCAUAAAGCAAGUUUCAUCUUUAGAAAAAGUUAGUCCAAGUGAGAGUUAUUGUAUUGCUAAUAUAAUUGUAUAUACAAUCGGUCCACUUUAAUUUUAAUUAGAAGAUAAUUCGUUUGGUUUACUUAUAAUAGGUUAAGAUUGUUGGUUUAAUUUAAGUUGUCUGGUUUUAAUGUAACUAACUUGAUAUGAUCCAUAAAUUAACAUACUAACAAAUUUGAAAUAGUCCAAAAUUUAAAUGACAACUUUAAUGAUAGAUAAAUUUAGGACUCUAUUUUAAUAGAGUAGAUUUUGUAAGGAUCUUUUACAAAUACAUACACAAUGAAAACAUAACAAAUAACAUAGGUUAUAUAAUAAAAAAACAAAAGAACUAAAAAAGAGUAAGAUAUUUGAGAAGUUUUGCGAUCUUUACAUCUUUGUCGCAUUAGAAACAUCAAUUAAUUAUCUUUGUUGUGUUAUAUUGGUCUUAAUCCAAUUUAGAUCUAUAUAUAUUUUUCGGUUUAGAAUCCAAUAUAUUGAUUCAACCGUAAGAAAAAAAAUUGAAAAGACCAAUUUUCAACGAUUGUAUGUAUAUUGCCAUACAACAAAAAGAUUCUUCCUUCAGUCUUUAGAUCCUCUUUUGUAUCUCGAAUCCAUGGCGGUUUUCUUGGAGGACAUUUUCUCCAUAACAAAUGACUUGAUUCGAAAAUCAACACAAUUUGGUUAAUUGUUUUUUCAUCAAUCAUAGCUGUAAAAUCCAUGUCGGAAACUGCAACGUCGUAUUGAAAGAAAGAGAGAUUAACCUUCAAUCCGCUGUAGAUGAAUUUCUUCUCAAGUAAAGGGAAGAAUAAGAGAUUAACCUUCGAUCACUUAGGCCUAAUAAACAACAAUCAUUAAUACAAAUAAAACUCAAUUCAAUAAGAAUUUGUGAUAAAUAUAAGCAAUUAGUGCCAUAUAUCUCAGAUUCCUGACUACACUAUAAUAGUAACAAUGAAAUUGUCUAGACAAAACAAAACCAAAGAAUGGCAAUGCAAGAAGAAACUUUCGUAAUUGAUCCAAACAGAAACAAACAGUUGGUUUACAAGUAGUAGCAAUUCUAAACAAGAUCACUAUUACAUUAACCUAUUUAACUAUCAUAUAUAUAACACUAGGAUCGGCCAGCGGAAGUUAUUAUAAAAUAUUUUACAUGAAUUUAUAUUAACUUAUGAAACAUUUAAAAUUAUUAUGUAUUGAAAAUAAUAUUAUAAACAAAAAAAUAAUGGAAAUAAUUCUGAGAUCAUAUUGUUAUUGUUAAUAAAUAUUUUUGAUUUGAAUUAAAAUGACAACAACUUUCAUUAUUCUCUAUCGUUAAAUAAUACAAUAUUAACAAAAAUAAUUAAGAAAAUGUAAUAAUAGAAAUAUUCUUAUUAUUUCUAUUUCAAUUUGACAUAGUAAAAAUAUAAAGUUUAUACAAAUAAUACUAUAUUUAUUUUAAGAAGCUUCAAAUUUUUAAAAACAUUAACAUAAUUUUUUUUUGCUUCAAGAUUUGGUAGUGCGACCCAUAUACCUCCCUCGGUGCUUAGCCGUGGCAUCGGAUGGCAAGGCGUAGGCGUUUUGCUGAAUGGAUUGUUUGGAACUGCAACCGGUUCAACAGCUUUGGUGUAAUGAAAUCAAAUCUCUUUAAUAUAGAACGUUCUCAGGUGCCGGAUCUUAAACUUUGUUGUUUUUUGUUUGUUCUUGUAGUGAAAAUACAGGGCUGCUUGGACUAACAAAGGUUGGGAGCAGAAGAGUGGUUCAGAUAUCUGCUGGUUUCAUGAUCUUCUUCUCCAUUUUUGGUAAUACUCCAAUCAUGUGAAAUUACUUGGAAACAAUUUUAAUUGCUAGGCAGUAAUUAUAUACUUUUUAUAGGAGAUUAAUGAUUAGGCGGAUGCGAUUUCAGAAAAAAAAAUCGGUUAAGAAAAAUCGGUUAAGAAAAAUCGUUUUCUUUAGAUACGAUUCGCACCCUACACCGAUUUUUAGAACAUUACUCUUAACCAUUACUAACCUUGUGAAAAAAAUACAGGCAAGUUUGGGGCUGUUCUUGCGUCGAUACCAUUACCGAUAUUUGCAGCAUUGUACUGUGUUCUAUUCGCCUAUGUUGGUAUGUAUAUCUCAAGAACUAGACUCUUUCUACUCAUUUUAGCUUUUUCUAUAAAUGUGAUUGAGAUCAGGCAGAGGACCUUGUGAACAGCUUCUGCAGGACUUGGCCUGCUUCAGUUCUGCAACUUAAACAGCUUCAGGACUAAAUUCAUCCUCGGCUUCUCCAUCUUCAUCGGUCUAUCUGUCGCACAAUACUUCACAGAGUAUCUAUUUAUCUCUGGUCGUGGACCCGUUCACACUCGCACUUCUGCUGUAAGUGUAUUACAUCAUCACUUUAUGUUUGUUUGUCUUGUGUGUACUGAUUCGUUUGUCAUGGACGCAGUUCAAUGUGAUAAUGCAAGUGAUAUUCUCUUCGGCUGCAACCGUUGGGAUAAUGGCAGCCUUCUUGUUGGACUGUACUCAUAGCUACGGACACCCCUCGGUGAGGAGAGACAGUGGAAGACAUUGGUGGGAGAAGUUCAGAGUCUACUACACUGACACUCGAACUGGAGAGUUCUACGCAUUGCCUUAUAACCUCAAUCGAUUCUUCCCUUCUUUCUAAAAAUCUGAGACUCAGUUUCUUCAGCAUCUAGAGAUAUAUAUAUGUACCACAAAAGCAAGAUUCCAACUAGAAAAUUAUGUUUCUAAAUAAUCUUGUUUUUCUUGUUACCAACACUUUCGCAUGAGUUUGCUUAGAGAUUGUAACAGCUACAUAUUCCAGAGUGACUAGGCAAAUUGAGAUUCAAACUCUUUUCUUUUCUGGUGAGUAAACUGAUCAUCUUAGUCCGGCUGGAGAUGUUGGACUGCCUCCUCCAGGUCUUCCCAUGGCUCUCUGGGCCAGAGAUCCAUCGUAAUCCUAAACAAACGUAUUUUUCGAUUUUAACAUGAAAGCCAACAUAAAGACAACUUGGUUUAGGUUGAUACAAAGUAUAAUUUGAAACAUACUCGCUUCUCGAAGGAACUAUCCUGCGAGUCAGCUAUCUUGUCUGCGAUACCAUAGUCAAUGGCUGCUUGUGCUUGGAGAUAUUUAGGUCGCUUGAUGUCCUCGUUGAUCUGCUCUUUGGUUUUACCUGUUCCCUUAGCUAACAGCUCAAUGUAAUACUCAGUAUUUGCAUCGAGCUCCUUGGCCUGUCAGAGGAGGAAUAUUCAUUAACAGUACA